AAUGUGCACAUUUCCUUGUGUAUAUAUUCAAAGUCUACUAGGUGACUGCCAACUAAAAAAAAAAAAAGACAAAUCAAGAUUUACAAAUUAUAUCUAAGGAACUAGAAAAUUAAACACAUCCAAACAAAAAAUACGAGAAUAAAUAUUUUAAAAUUUUAAGACCUCCCUACCCAUUACUGUCAUCCUUGAAGCAUUUCUUAUGCACCAGCAUCAGUUUAGUUCUACCUUCUCCUAUUCCUAUCCCAGUUGACUUUCUCAAGGAAUAUCACAACAAAUGUCAAAAGAAAAAAUAAACAAAAACUAAGAGGAGGUCAAAGAAUUUUGUAUGUCAGAUUUAGGAACAUUAUAAGAACAUCUGAGGCUCUAUAUUUUUCAGCUCUGAGAAGUCCAUAUUUCAAAAUUUUCUCACCAUUGGUCCAAAGGAACGAAAAAUAAAUCAGAAAACAUAAGAAAGAGACUAAAAAUUAAUUUAACAUAUAAAGUCCUACAGCAUGCUAAACAACCAUUAAAUCCAUUUUUUCCAGUGAAAUAUAACUCAUAUAACUCAGGAGCCAUGAAGAAAAACAAAAACUGAAAGACAAUAAAGUAUUCGUAAUCAUUUUUUUAAAUAACAAUAAAAGGUUCAUAAUAUUUACAAUUUGCGACCCAAAUCCACAAUCAACUCAAGAUAAUAUUACAGGCACUAAUUUGUAAAGAAAACAGAAGUUAGUUAAUACCAUUUAUCAUUAGAACCAGAAAAUAACAAGCCAAUAACAAGGUGGCUUUUGCUUUCUCGAAAAGACUUUUUCUCAAGUAGGUCGCACGCAAUAUGAAUGUGACUUAAGUGGAAGGACAAUUAUAACAACAACAAGCAGAAUUGAACUUUCACAGCAAAAACUCAAUGUACAUAUGUCCAUUGAACAUCCACAUAUUUUAUCACCAGAAAUGGGAUAUCAACGGUCCCCAUUAUGACCCAAAUCAAUUUACUGCACACAGCCUUAAUUUUCCGAAGAAACCUCAUCUGCUGCUCUCUCAAAAAUCAUGAACAUGCACACUCACACAAGAUAGCACAGUGACUUCAACAUCAGUAUCAAAGAGAAAACGUAUCAGAGAGCAUCCCUUACAAAAGGGGGGAAAAAAAGGGAAAAACACAAACACUACGAAAAUAACAAAUCCAACCAAAAGAGAUUCACAGUGAAAACAUCAGCUGAAAUUGAGAAGGGAAAAGCCAAAGAUUACCUAUAACAGGGUCGCUCGUGCUUGAGCUUUCAUGCAAAACACCAACUCUGGAGGGGUUGAUCCUUCGUGGCGGGAAAAUUGGGAUUUUGGAGACUGGAGAGCGAUGAAGACCACAAGGUCGUAGUGGAGGUGGCAAUAAGUUAUGCGAAGGCGGUGGCAAUAGUAAAAGGAUAACGAAUCCAAUUUGAGAUGUUCGAGGAGAGGGUAAACAGCAGAGAAAGGGAGACAGAGAGGAGUUGAGUAUCACAGCUUCUGAGUAUUUUCCGGCAAGGGUCAGUAGUCAAACUGUUGGUUUCGGGUCAUGACUGGCGAGAGAGUGCUGGAUAUGAGGGAAGAAGCUCUAAAGCAAGAUUUAGUAGAGGAACCGCACAGGCAGAGAGGGAGCUGAAGCAGGCGGUGGUUAUGGCGAUGAGAGAAGCACGGUGGCGCGGUGGUGAGAGGCAAUGUGGAGGUAGAGAAGGACAGUUCUUGUGUCUCGAUUGUUGAGGGAGAAGACCGAGAGAAAAUGGCAGAGAAGCCGUGGAUAACCGAAAAAGAUCAAUGGAGGGAGGGAAGUGAAUGAGAACAGGUGAUGAACUAAACUUCGUCGAUGCAAUAAAAAACCUUUUCCUUUUAGAUAACUAAACUUCGUAGGCAUGUACAUAAUAUAAAUCAUGUAGAUGUAAUAUAAUAAAUCCAUAUGAUUUUUAGAUGGCUCUUUUAUUUAUUUACAUGGAAUUAAUUAUAUAUUAAUAAUAUAUAUUAUCUAUAUUAAUAGAUUUUGAAAUCAUAUAUUUCUAUUAUAAAAGAGUUUAGG
rnacentral:lncRNA from 1 species